UACGGGGGGGGCAAGCGUUGUUCGGAAUUACUGGGCGUAAAGGGCUCGUAGGUGGCCAACUAAGUCACACGUGAAAUCCCUCGGCUUAACCGGGGAACUGCGUGUGAUACUGGAUGGCUUGAGUUUGGGAGAGGGACGCGGAAUUCCAGGUGUAGCGGUGAAAUGCGUAGAUAUCUGGAGGAACACCGGUGGCGAAGGCGGCGUUCUGGACUGCAACUGACACUGAGGAACGAAAGCCAGGGGAGCAAACGGG
rnacentral:rRNA from 1 species